UUUCCUACGGGAGGCAGCAGUGAGGAAUUUCCUGCAAUGAGGCAGCAGUGGGGAAUAGUAAACACGGGGCGCAAGCAUGAUCUAUCCAUUCGUAAAGUGUGAUGAAGGCCUUAGAAUCGUAAAGCUCUUUAUACAGAGAUGAUAAACGGUCCCUCUAGAAAGAAAAACCCGCGCUAAACUCCGCCCCAGCAGCCGCUGUUAUACGGAGGGGGUUAGCGUUUUUCGGAAUUACUGGGUGUAAAGCGUAUGUAGGCGGAUCAGAAAGUAUGGGGUGAAAUCCCAGGUCUCAACCGGAAGUGCAUUUCAUAAACUCAGACUCGAGAGUUGGAGAGGGGGGAGGAAUUUUCCGUGUAGAGGGGAAAAUUUUAGAUAUAUGGAGGAAAACCCCUGGGGAAGGGGCGGCUCUGGGCCUAUAUUGACGCGGAGAGGUGAAAAAGUGGGGAGCGCACACACGAAUAUACCCCUUAUUGUCCGCACGUGUUCCGAUGAAUGCCAGUGUUCGGCAGUAUUCCCUUCAGUGCCGCAGCUAACGCAUAA
rnacentral:rRNA from 1 species